GAGACUCUCCGUACGGGAAGGAUGAGAAGCUUCGACUAAGGUUCGAUUCGAGCGCAGCGAGAAAGCGUUGCCGCAGGCAACGACCCGAAGGGCGAAGCGCGCAGCGCUGAGUAAUCCUUCCCCCACCACCA
rnacentral:sRNA from 1 species